GGUGCUGUGGCAUAGCAGGUAAAGCUGCAGCCUGCAGUGCUGGCAUCCCCAUAUGGCCACUGGUUCAAGUCCUGGCUGCUCCA
rnacentral:tRNA from 1 species